AGUCGCUGCUCAGUGAGCCCCCAGCCAGGAUGGGGUGGGGGCUGUGCUGGGGCCCUGGUGGGGUCCCCCUCCCACUGGCCUCUCUGCUUGGCUCCAACUUCAGCCUGCACAAGCCGCUCCCCACUCUGCUCGUCCCAAAGCCCAGAGCCUGUGUGGGUUUGCAGAGAGCCUGGGUUUGGGGCUGCAGCCAGGACAGCCACCAUUCCAGCCCCGACACAUUCCAAGAGGGUUCCCUGGAAAUCCCUAGAGCCCCCAGAGCUUCUCUGACACUGAGCAUUAGUGCAUUCUGCCCUCAGAGCUGGAGACCCCGGACCUGCAACUGGCACCAGGGCUUGCUCGUCGCAUCCUCACUCUAGGCGCCAGUUCCUCACUCUAGGCCCCAGUUCCUCACUCUAGGCCCCAGUUCCUCACUCUAGGCCUCAGUUCCUCACUCUAGGCCCCAGUUCCUCACUCUAGGCCCCAGUUCCUCACUCUAGGCCCCAGUUCCUCACUCUAGGCGCCAGUUCCUCACUCUAGGCCCCAGUUCCUCACUCUAGGCCCCAGUUCCUCACUCUAGGCGCCAGUUCCUCACUCUAGGCCCCAGUUCCUCAUUCUAGGUCCCAGUUCCUCACUCUAGGCCCCAGUUCCUCACUCUAGGCCUCAGUUCCUCACUCUAGGCCCCAGUUCCUCACUCUAGGCCCCAGUUCCUCACUCUAGGCCCCAGUUCCUCACUCUAGGCCCCAGUUCCUCAUUCUAGGUCCCAGUUCCUCACUCUAGGCCCCAGUUCCUCACUCUAGACCCCAGUUCCUCACUCUAAGCCUCAGUCCUUCACUCUAGGCGCCAGUUCCUCACUCUAGGCCCCAGUUCCUCACUCUAGGUCUCAGUUCCUCACUCUAAGCCUCAGUCCUUCACUCUAGGCCUCAGUUUGCCCAUCUUUGUGAAGAGCAAGGUGGCCCUGAGACGGGUAUCCACAAGCUGUGUGGGUUAAGAUACAGGCUUUAGUGUUGGAUGGCUGAGGGUCUGGGUUCCAGUGUGGCCAAGUCGGCCUGAGCCUGUUUCCCUGCCUAUCAAUAGGUGGAUGAGAGGCCACACGGAGCCUGGCACCGCUGGGAAGGGCUGCUGUAGCCACUUCACCCACCCAGCGCUCCCGAGUUGCCUUCUCUGGGGUGUUCUAGAGACUGCUGGCCAGAGGACUUCAUGGAGCCUUGAGCUCAGCCCUCCCAGCCUCCAGAUGGUGAUAAAUACAUUUCUGUUCUUUAUAAAUUGCCCGGUCUGGGGGUAGUUUUCUUUUAUCGUGGCUCAAAUGGACUAAGACAGAAGGGAAAGAAGAAGCCAGAUUGGGUGGAAAAGGCGGCUGCAUAGUGGUGCAGGCCUCAUAAGGCCUAGUCCAGCCCUCUGGGGACCCCCAGAAAAGUGUCCUGCACCUCACUGCGUCCUGCCUGUUGGUGUCCUGCGGCACACGGCCGUGGCUCACCUACAGAGCGUGGGAAGGGGCAUGACCUAGGGUGCGGAGGAGCUGCCAGCUGGAGGCUGUGUGCUAGCCACUCCCCGGGGCCGGGUGACAGGUCCCUCCUGAAGGGAAACCAGGGCAGCCGUCCCUGUGCCAACCACAGCAGGUCCUAUGGAGAGGCCGGACCGAUCACUCUUGGGAAGGCGGGCCCCACACUCUCAUUUUAUAGGUAUUGAAACUGAGGUCAGACGGUGUGAAAGGGGCUUUUCCAAGGACCGGCCAGCAGCCAUGUGGUGGACGGGGAUGGAACUCAGUGGGGCUGGAGCCCUGUUUCUGGUCUGUCCUCCCGUGGGCAGCUGCUCAAUGCAGCAGGUUGCGACGUCUAUUUUGUUUGCCACUGUAGCCAUGUCUGGGAAUGGCUUAGCCAUUUCUAUUUUGAGCACCAACUGUGUGCCAGGCUGAUGAUUUUCCCAGAGAGGGGCUGGAUGCAUGCACAGCCUGGUCAUUCUCACCAAGCUCCUGCCAGCUCUGCCACCAAGGAAACACCUGGCACUUGCAGCCGGCGCCUUCCGCAGGCUCCUGCACCCACAGCAACUCCAGCUGGGAUUCUCUAAGCCUCCAGGGGCCAGGGCUUACCAGAUGAGCUGCUGAGGGGCAGAUGGAUGAGCAGAACCACCCCUCCGCGAGGUCCUGCUGUCCCUGGCGGUGUGAGGUGGGGUGGAAGGUCCUUCUUCGGGUGUGCCCAUGUGCCGGGCUGCUUGGCAUGCUGAGACCCGGAGGGAGCCGGGCACAGCUGACGAGACCUUGGAUGCCCUUUCAGACUUGUGAAGGAGGGAAAAGCUUCUUGUUUUAGUUUGCUCAUGGGUUGGCAGGAGUAGUGACCUUUUAGUCAUUGUAUAAAGCAGCAAUAAAAUGUGAUUUCGGGAGGAACUACUGGGUGGGAGACACCCGCGCUGACCUGCACGGGGCUCCCAUGGGGGAGAUCUGUCUGCCGGGCUAGGUGGGCCUCCUUGCUAGGCUCUGACUCACCUUGGCAAUGGCGUGACCGAGUAGUGCAGUGGCUGGACUGAGAAGGACGAGCGGUCACGUGGUGUCUGGGCUGGAGGCACCAUCCUCACCCCGUCUGUCCAAUGAGGUCUGUCCUGGCUGAGUCUGGUGGCCUCUCUAGGACACGACGCUCAUGUGGUCCAUCCCUGGGGAGACCUGUCCUUCUUCCUUGGACCCAGUCACUCCGAAUCUGUUUCCUGGUGGACUCCUUUGUUCUCAAAUAUCCAUUGCUCUUGUGUGUAUGCUCGUGUGUGAUGGAAAACAUUCUGGGCAGUGUUUUGGCCACUCUCUCUAUAGUUGACAGAAACAAGAGAAAGCCCAGGACCCAUAUGUUUGUCCGUGGCCGAGGGAGAGGCCUCUAACCUCCUCUGCAGAUGGCCAGGGGGUCUGUUACGGACUGAACUGUGUACUCCCCCUGCCUUCAUAUGUUGAAGUCCCAGCUCCUGGUGUCACUGUGCUUGGAGAUGAGGGCUUUCUGGAGGUGAUUAAAAGAGGGCAUAAGGAUGGGGCCCUGAUCCCAUAGGAUCAAUGUCCUUAUAGGAAGAGAUGAGAGGACUCCCUCUUCUUUCUCUCUCUCCCCACUAUGUGUGGACAUGAGGCAGGGAGAGGGCCCUCAUUGGAAACCAAUUGGCCAGCACCCUGAUCUUGUACUUCCUAGGAAUAGAUGUCUGUUGCUUAAGCCCUCCAGUCUGUGGUAUUUGUUAUGGGCACCUGAGCAGAAGAAGACAGGUCCAAAUGCCUUAAUGCUUCUCUAACUAGUUCUCUACCAAAUGGUUUCAGAGAGCCAGGAACGAUGCUAAAGCUUCCUGAUUCGUGACCCUGGCUAAGCAAAUGUAACGGCCCCAUUGACUCGCAGCCAUUGGAGAACUGAGCUUAAGAAUCUUUUGGCGGUCUGGAAACUUGGAAAAAGAAAGGGGCAACGUAUCCCACUUGAGCCAAGGCCAUACUUUCCCGGCUGCUCAGAAGACAUUUCUCUGUCUCCCCUGCUCUUCCCCAUCUUGAAUGUGGAUGUCCUGGCUGGGAACACAGCAGCCAACUCGUGAGUGUGGGUAACAAGCAGGGACAAAAGACCACCAGAGUCACAGAGACGCAGCUGCGGUGACACCGAGAUCCACUCGGCUCUCUUCUCUUCUGCGUCCUGCUCUAUGGCCUGGGAAGCUGAUCUCCAAGGAUCGCAUUCCUAGGGCUCUCUGGCCCAUGGGCUUCCCGUUGGGUUUGCCCAAUGGACAGCCAUGGCAGAAGAUCAAAGGGAAGAUGGCAGGAAGCUGUCCCCCACUCCUCGCCUGGCUGAGUUCUGGCGAUGGCUGCCAUCCAGGGUCCUGAGUCCCACCAGUUUUUACCCCUUGAAGUGAGAAAGAACACGUCUACAACCCUCCCUCAUUCCAGAGGCUGUGUUUUUGCCCUUUGGUCAUGCAGAUGGGGCUAAAGCGAAGUUACAACAUUGGAAAAUGUCUUCUUAACGUCACACUGAUCUCCUUAAGGCAACGAGCCCCACAUGCUCUCUGAGGCCUGUGCACGUGUUCUGAGGACCCAGUUAUGUGCUGCGUGAUUCCAGAGGUGAACAGACCCUCACAGAUCACCUCUCCUCACCCUCUCAUGAGAGGGAAACUGAGGCUCAGGGGGAGAAUUGGCAAAGGUUACACUUGGUGGUGGGUUUGGAAUCUGCCCUGUGGACGCCCGACUAACCAUUUCUGCCAGAUGCGCGUGGGAAGUAAAAUGGGAAGAGGUGCUCCAUAGGAGGAGGGGACGUGGGUACAGUCACGUGGACCCGUGAGCCGGUCACCUGCGAGGCACCAGGGCCUACAGGAAAGGUGCCCGCUGUCGGCUUCCGCAGGGAAUUUCGUUAUCUUUGUGAGGUAGGGUGGAACUUGCAUCCUGAACAUUAAAGUUUACAUGCCAAGGAGGGCGGUGGAGUCCUUGGAACUUCCUGCCUCCCCCUGAGGCUGCCUCCCCAUGCGAUUGACCUGGUCUGGCUGGGCCUGAUGCUGGGCUCAAAGAGAACACAGGUCUCACCCUCCUAUGUGGCGUGUGGUGAAGACUAAGGAGGUCCCCAGGACCCUGAGGGUUGCCCUUGGGUGCAUUGGAGUAGAGGCCAGGGAAGUCCAUGUCCUUUCCGAGCCAGGCCUUGCCGCCGAGGUACAGCCACAGUGUCCCCCUUCCAGCUGCAGAGCCGCUGCUUCCUCAUCUGUCAGGUGGGAACAACGACCCCCACUCUGUGCACCUCACUGGCAGUAGCGAGCACGAAGUGUGAGGGUGGACUCUGCAAGGUGGAAGCCAUGUCCCUGCAGGUUGCAUCUGUGCUGCCUGCCCUGCUGAGGGACGGGAACAGCAGCAUAGCCUUCGGUACCACGUACCUUGUUUGUCAAAACUGGACCUGCCACAGCGCGGUGGCCCUUCUCCUGGGGAAACACACUGUGCCCCAGGAGGUGUGUGGACAAACACCUUCACAGCACUGAUGCUGAGACAGCCAGAGCCCAGAAACGCCCAGCCGCCCCCGGUAGGAAAAUGAAUAAGUAAAUUGGGGCAAUUGGAGAUUGUGAUGUCUCUCUUGCUGAAGACCACCUGGCUGGAUUUGCUGGGGUGGGACCCAGACCGGGACGUUUUCAUACACACAAAACGGGCUGUGCCAGGUGGCCUUCUCCAGGGCACGGUGGGUGGGGGAGUCUCAGGCUGCCACGUGCCUGGCAGGCUUGGGACGAGGUGAAGGGAGGUGAGUGUUCGUGGGGAUGCUGGGACCCCAUUCGGGCCAGGUCAAUCACAUGGGGAGAUACAGUAUCAACAGUAAAGGAUCUUUAGAUAUGUAAACACACAGAUAAGUGGCCGGUGUAAUGUGCAGAAAAUGCUAAACAACAGAAUGCAAUAAUACAAAGUUCCAAAGCAGGCAACCCUAAACUCCAUGUUC
rnacentral:lncRNA from 1 species